UACAGAGGUCUCAAGCGUUGUUCGGAUUCAUUGGGCGUAAAGGGUGCGUAGGUGGCGCGCUAAGUCGGGUGUGAAAUUUCGGAGCUUAACUCCGAAACUGCAUUCGAUACUGGCGUGCUUGAGGACUGGAGAGGAGACUGGAAUUUACGGUGUAGCAGUGAAAUGCGUAGAUAUCGUAAGGAAGACCAGUGGCGAAGGCGGGUCUCUGGACAGUUCCUGACGCUGAGGCACGAAGGUCAGGGGAGCAAACGGG
rnacentral:rRNA from 1 species